UGUGUAUAGCUUGAUUGAAGUGUAAGCCUUAAUACAGUUUCAGAGUAGGAAUGUGAAUGUCAUUCACCACAAGCUUGCCCUUUUGAGUCAGAGCUGUCGAGCACAGAAACAGGCCCUUCAGCCCGACUCGGCCAAGCAGACCAAGUUGACAUUCAGGGCUUGUCCCAUUUGCCUGCAUGUG